AAGCGCUUGCAACCAGACUUGCACGCAGUUGAUCAUCCGGUGUUCUCACCGGGGCACUCUGCUGCGUUCAGGCCAGCAUCGGUUUCGGUGGUUGGAUAAAGGCCUUGGGAA
rnacentral:rRNA from 1 species